UAGGAUGUGGCUCAGUGGUAGACUGCUUGCCUAGCAUACAUGAGGCCCUGGGUUCCAUCCCCAGCACCAAAA
rnacentral:tRNA from 1 species